rnacentral:rRNA from 1 species
GACGAACGCUGGCGGCGUGCUUAACACAUGCCAGUCGAACGGUGAAGCGCCUUCCUUUUUGGUGGGUGUGGAUGAGUGGCGAACGGGUGAGUAACACGUGAGUAACCUGCCCCCUUCUUCUGGAUAACCGCAUGAAAGUGUGGCUAAUACGGGAUAUUCUGGGUCUGUCGCAUGAUGGGUCUGGGAAAGAUAUUGUUUCGGUGGGGGAUGGGCUCGCGGCCUAUCAGCUUGUUGGUGGGGUGAUGGCCUACCAAGGCGGUGACGGGUAGCCGGCCUGAGAGGGUGGACGGUCACACUGGGACUGAGACACGGCCCAGACUCCUACGGGAGGCAGCAGUGGGGAAUAGUGCACAAUGGGCGCAAGCCUGAUGCAGCGACGCCGCGGGAGGGAUGGAGGCCUUCGGGUUGUGAACCUCUUUCGCCAGUGAAGCAGGCCUGCCUCGUUUGUGGGUGGGUUGACGGUAGCUGGAUAAGAAGCGCCGGCUAACUACGUG